AGAGGGUGGGCGUAUCUAACAUUCAAGGUAGGUAUGUUGGAUGGCAGUAACUUAAGACAUAUCUUGCGAUUAACCACGUAAAAUUUGUCUUUAUUGUAUAAUAUGGUAACAACACUUUAGGACAUAUGACAGCAGUAUUUUAUGCUGCCUCGUCCACCUCACGCCCUCACACCAUUUCUAUGAUAACUAUAAGCUUGAGUGCUC
rnacentral:lncRNA from 1 species